UUGCUCCUUUCUCCCCCCUUCCCUAGGCCUUCUCCCUCCUUCUUUUUUCUUUCUUUCUUUCUUUCUUUCUUUCUUUCUUGCUUUCUUGCUUUCUUGCUUUCUUGCUUUCGCCUUUUUCUUUAUCUUUUCUUUCUUUCUUAUCCUUUAAUUUAUUUUUGCUUUUUUUCCCGUUUCUAAUUUUUCCUCUUUCCUUUAUUUUCUUUAUUUUAUUCUUUCUUUUCCUUUUCUUUAUUUUUUCUUUAUUUCCUUGUCUCUCUUUUCUCUCUCCCCCGCCCCCGCCCGCCCCCUCCCGCAGCGGCCAUGGCGGAGCGCAGCGCGGUGCCAGCACCGGGCCGCUGCGGGGGGCGGCGGAGCAGCGGCCGGCGGAGCCCGAGGGGGUUGCACUGCAGUGACUAGCUGCCAGCCAGACUUCGAACUCCUCCCGGAUGGAUUACAGCUACACAACUGGACUUUCUGAAGGGAGAACAGCAACACAAUAACAUUUGCCUAACACAUCCUGCCUUUCAUCGUUCCCAUUCAGCCCGUGGUCAUAGUUCAGGACCUUAAAUCAAACAUUUCCAGACACUUAUAUUAUUUUCUUCAUGCGUUUGAAGAUAAUAAAUUUCUGAAAGCACAGCCCUAAAGCAGCAUUUGCAUUCAGUUUACCAGCGAACAAAAAUGUCUUGCAAAUUCCUACAGAUCGUGCCUGAGCUCAUUGCUGCUGUUCACUUUCCCUGAUUUAUUUGCUGCAAGAGAAACGGACAGACCUACGUUUCCUCCAAGACUGAUUUCACAGCUCCAAGCGUACUUCAGUCAUUUACCAACUUUAAAAAGCUAAACAUUUACUGUACCACCUACAUUUUUCAGCUGUGUUUUCCCUGCAUUUUUAAAACACUGCAUUGCACGCUGAUUUUAUAAUGUCUGUAAUGCAAUGUUCUCUUUCAUGGCCACCUCGUGCCCUGUUUCCAAGGGCCAAUUCUUUGCUUGUGUGAAUCCACAAAGGACCAGCAGUGCUGAAUUACUCCAGUGAAGGGCUUAGUCUAGAGUCUUAUGAUUAAUAAUAGAAAGAUAUUCAAGAAAAGUUUCAGAUCCCACUAUAAAUCACUGCCGCUUUCUCUGGCAUUAUAUGGGAUAAUGACAUUCUCUUGGGUAAGAGGGAAAGGGAGAUCUUGUGCCUCCAUCUCCAUGACAGCUAUUCACGUCCUCAGUUUACCACAAAUACAUUCAAGCACUAUAUCGGGUCCUUGGCCAGCAAAAGCCCUGUCCGUGCCACUUAGGCUGGAUGUUGAACUCAGUUCCACUGCUUCUUUAAGCUGCUCUUUGACCAAUUAACUGUAGAUGUGCGAUGAACUUGCUACGUGAAAAGCAGAUGCAGCACACAAACGAACUGUGACCCUUCUUAACGACAACAUUUCUGAAGCGAUGGCCAUGUACCUUAGAUAGAUACUGGAAAACUUGGUUCCUACCAGAAAAUUGCUGUGUAGAUUCCCGUAUCAGAGAAGCCAAAACCUGACAAAGCAGAAAUAAGACUGCCUAGAACAGCUUUUUUUUUUUGGCAGAAAGGGUUUGGAGGUGAAGGUUGAUGCAAGAGAGUCAGAAGCAAACUCGCACCUACUCAAGAAAAGGAGCGAGCUUCGGUGAAGAGCCUGAGCCUCAGUUUCCUUUCUGGUGCUAUUCUUCUAUAUCAUCAGUUGAGCAGAGAUGCACCGGCGAUGCUACAGCCCUGCUAUAAUGCCAGAGUGAUGUGAACGGGUUUGGGUGCAGUGUUGGGGUUGGAUCCUCGCCCACGUUUCAGAAAAUACCGAAAAAAAUGUAGCAGGUGUAAGACUGCUCUAAGGACUUCAAUCGUAGCGACGCGUAGUGCCUUUCUGUUACUGUUACCGUCCUUCAACCCUAGUGGUACCAUUUCAUCACAGCCAGCUUUAGCCAGGCUGUGAUAACUCACGAGCUGACUGGGAGGACUGUGGUGCUAUGGUCCUAUACUAGGUCCAGGUGCAGCGACACCGGUGUGGAGAGUGCCCCGAUGCUUCGGAUGGAUAUUCAGCCGCGGUGAAUGCCCAACACUGCCUUUGAUGAGACAGAAAGUACUAAUUUAUCCCUGGAUUGAAAAAAGGGCUCAUAACAGAGAUACGUUGGCAGAGUUUAUGUGUUUUAGAACUAGUUUCAGUGGGUUAUUGCAAAUUAAUUUGUCAGAGAGAACUGGAGUUGGUGGGGGGUGAGUCAGGGUAUUGCUGUAGAGUUAGAGGGAUGUGCCUGGGGUUGGAAUAGCAUUGGGUCUGGAAGUCACAGCUGAGGUCCAUUAGCUUAAAUUGCAUUGCCUGUUUGGUUAGAAUUCAAACCAGGGUUUCUUGAUCCUAUGCUGAACUACGUACUGAAUGUCACGUGUGACAUCUUCUAAAAGCCGUAGCUCUAACGGGAGCUGUACGCUGCUGAGGAACCGCAGCCUGCGGUAACCUGUGGUCCUACCUUUGAAUUACAGGAUUAGCGGGGUGGCAGAGGAGUGCGAUGGGAUGCUAUGCUGAUGUUCUCUAAUCAAUGGACAGGAGACGGCUGAUUUCAGGUUUCUGGUCUCUUGUGCAAAAUGUGUCUGUACCCAAGGUAUUAAAUCACCCAAUUCUGCCUUUUGUAGAACUGGCCGAUUCAGGCACACAAUAAGACCAGGCGCUGCAAAGGAUCAGCUCUGAGCCACAGCCCAGGCAAAGAAAAACUCAGAUUUCAUUGGUUUAGAUGAAAAGCAAAGGAAGUAACAUGGCUUUGUUCCUUUGAUGCUUCUAUGCUCUGCUUGGCUUUAUGGCUCACUGGUCAUUUUUCCUACGUGUAUUGUCUGAUGUUUCAAACUGAACUACCCUGAAAGUUGCCAUCCAGAAAAUAGCACAGGCCAGGAUAGCAAUCCUUUAGUGAUAAAGUGAUCAAAAAUAGCUCUUCCUACCUCGUUUUGAGCGGUUUUUUUCCCUAGCCCUCUCUUUCUAAAAAUGUAACUUUGAAAAGCGGCCACAAUGCUUCCUUUUAUGACCACUUUUCCUGGAGUUGCACGUAGUGUAUGACAGCACUGCUGUAGGGCAAAACUAUUUCUAGAGUGCUCCUUCCCACUAAAGAUGGAGAAAAAUUACUGCAGGCUGGAAAUCAGAGAAAGUUAGCCGCAGCAACAGCCAGCUUUGAGGUUGGUUAUUGCAACGCAUACGUCACACCAGCGGUUAGAGGCGUUAUUGGGGUAGAAGUCCCAUGUUUCCAUCCAGUGGCCGCACAGAUCUUGCCGAGAAACCCUGCCUGCUGUUUUCACCACAGGGCUGACGAGCAAACCACCCCUACGUUUGGGAUCGGUUUUUCAAAACGCCUCCUCUCUGGACUAGCUUGCUGAGAGUAUCCUGGGCCUGACGCAACCUGAAACCAGUAGAUUUUAACACAGCAAAACUGCUGAUCGUGUAAGUGGGCUGAGCACUCUUGCGGUGUCUAGGCUCGAGGUGGGGAGCUCCUGGGCAAACUGAAAGCAAAUACAAAUCAGUGUGGCUCCACUGAUUUCAGAGAGAUGGCUACAUUUGCUCUAGCUGGGAAUAAACCCUAUAAUCUACAAGGAUUUAUGCUUAUAAAUGCAUGGACCUAACUCUGCAGGCAGUUACUAGAUGAUACAUGGCAGCUGCUACUGAUUUGUUUGUGGGCUUGGCUCCUCCAUAUGCAUUUGUGUUUAUCUCCUGUGUUUACUGUCACCCUGCCUCUCCUCUCAGCUUUACUUCAGUCCUUACCGCUCACGAAGGAACACCUGCGCCCUGCUUCUUCCCUGCGACAUUUGGCUGUUCUGUCUUUUAUUGACUUGUUUUAAACUGAGGCAAAAAAGUGCACUUAAAUAUGGUUUAUUCUGAUUUCUAAAAUAAAAGGCCUGAUGCAAG